rfam:Actinobacillus minor NM305 Contig_76, whole genome shotgun sequence.
GGACGAACCCUUGGAGAGAUCCAGUCUGCUGAUGCAGAAAAUGGACGCCGAAGGCGAAAAUAUUAGGCAACUAAUGUGAAACGCUCAGGCAAAAGGACAGGGGAGAAAAG